GUUGGCUUGCCAACUAUGACGAUAAAUGAAUUUCGUAAUAACCAUUGCGGACGUGGGGGCAGUACCCACCACCUCCACCA
rnacentral:tmRNA from 1 species